AUUCAAGGUAUGAUGUACUGGGAAGAAAGUUGUGUCAAAAUCACUCAGCCAUUCCAAGGAAUCGUAUCUAAAUGUAAAUACCGAUAACUCCUAAUCAUGAAAAUGUGUGGGAUUACUGAAGUAUUAGUGCAAGCUGAAAAUGCCAAGGACGAGUGGAAUGUGUCACAUUAUAUGGAUGGAAUUGUUGAGAGAAGAUUUAAUCCUAUUUUAUCUUUAAAUUUGGCUUCAAGGGUUUUCAAAUUGGUAGAAAGCAUUAUUGUUGUUGUUGCUCCUGCUAUGUUUGUUAAAAGAAAAAGCAUUAUUGUUGUUGUUGCUCCUGCUAUGUUUGUUAAAAGAAACGGAGCCUGAGGGAACAAAUCCUUGGUGAUCAUUUUAUGCCUUUGUUCUAUUUGUUUUUCCUUUUACUCUGUAUCAUAUUUCUGAAACUUCAUACCUAUUUUUCUCUCGCCUUUGCAACCUGGUAUGGUCAUUUGUUAUUCUUCUUCUUUCUGUUGGUUUAUGAGAUUUUGCAGUUCAGUAUAACAUUUUUCGUUGCUGCUUUAAAUGGUAGUUUAGUGUAUUUUUCAACCCUAUCUAGUCUAAUACUUUAGUUUUCACAAAUAGCUAGACUUCCAGUAUGUGGUGUUUCUUUAACAGUCUUACUGAUUCUUUACAAUUUUGCAGUAAGUGGUUCCUGCAGAAGCUUGGACAUGAAGGUACUUAUCAUUUCAUUUUUCCUUCUAUUUUUUCUCCUGUAAUUCUUUAUUUGAAUUUUGUGAUGUCUAGGUUUCUAAUUUUCUCGAUUUUUGUUGUUUCUUUCAUUUCUUAUAGGUCUCAAUAAUUUGUUGAUGGCAUAUGAGGAUAAAUCAGCUUAUGCAUUGUGUUCCUUCUCCUUUACCACUGGGCCCAGUGUUGAGCCUAUCACAUUUCUGGGUAAAACUCCGGUAUGUAGAGACCCUAUCACAAUUUGUUUUUUUUUUUAUAUUCCUCCGUUGAAGGUCUGUAGACUAAUGUACCUGUUUUUAACAUACCGGACGUGGUUUGAGAGCAUCUUAUGCCGCUUAAGGCAUUGUAACUUAUUAGCCUAUGAUCACUAUACUUUUCAUCAGUUAGAAUGAUAUCCAAAGACGUGCAUAACUGUUGACUCAUCAUGGAAACAUUAGCUUGAGUCUUUAAAACAAGAAAGACUCCUGGAACCUGGAAAAUCAGGAGAAAAAACUGGUUGGCCCAUUUAAUCUAAUAGUUCGAGUUCUAUGGAAGAAUAUAGGUGAUGGGUUUAGUUUCCAGUAGUUGAUCAUAUAAGGCCUCUGUCUACAUCUAUCUUCCCCCCUGCUGAGCGUCGUGAAUCGCAAUUCUUUUCUUUUUAAGAUUUGAUCAAUAAGAGACAAGAGUUGGCUGAUAGAAUUCUGUUUGACCUGAAAUAUGUCCUUUGAACUAGAGAACUUUGGCUUCCUAUAAUAAAACUAAAUCCUGGGAGAUGAUAGUUUUCAACUAACUGAAAACUGAUCCAUUGGCUUUCAUUGAAGAAAGAAAAAAGAUGGAAUUUGUGGCUAUUGCAAAUAUUAAAGAAUGUUUAGUUUGUGGAAACGGUUGUACAAUCACGGGAUGGUUAACAGAGAAUGUGGCACUAACAUGCAAUUUGUGGAUGAAUUCCAGGGGAGAAUAGUUCCGGCAAGGGGACCAACUGAUUUCGGAUGGGAUCCAGUCUUCCAACCUGAUGGUUACGAGCAGACGUAAGCUAAUCUAUAUCUAUAUUAUAUAUUUACUUUCUCAGUGGUCCGUAGUAUUACUUGCAGCUGAUGUUUGUUAUUUGUCUUAUUGCAGUUAUGCCGAGAUGCCGAAGGAAGAAAAGAACAAGAUUUCUCAUCGCUUUAGAGCUCUUGCACUGGUGAAGUCUCACUUUGCUGAAGCUGGGUACACCUUUGAGACAAACUGUGUGUAAGAGUGAACACUUGCUUGGCUUGUUACCUCUACGGAAGAACAUAAGCGAUGAUAGUGAGGAAUAGCUGUUUUAAAUACGGUUUUUGAGUGGAAGCAAAACAUGCUAUGAACUUUUGCAACGGUGAUUACACUCAUUCAGACAAGUAUUAUGAGCUAGAUAUAGAAAAAGAAUUAACUCCAUAUAUUACUAUGGUGAUUUUAUAUGGUUCUAUUCUGCCCCAUAUGUGUCGAUUGAAAGCAUUGCCGAUUGAUCAUCGGAAUUUCUGUUCGUGUUGUUCCCUUGCAAUGAUUUAAAUUUUGAUUUGGGACUAGGGUUUGGCCUCUGGACAGCCAUUAGACUGCAACUAUCAACUUCGUAACAAACAUUUGGAGACUUUUUCUGCCAAGCAAAUACUCAAAGGCCAAACCUUACCUCAACUCCUAGCAAAUGGGGCCUGCUU
rnacentral:lncRNA from 1 species